rnacentral:lncRNA from 1 species
AGGCCAGGCCAGAAGGACCAGGGACUACAAACUCACCUUCAGGGCUCCUAAGCUGCUGCGGAGCUAGACGGCGGGCUGUGGGUGGGGAGGAGACUAGAAUAUUCUGAGACGGGGUCAGGUGGGAGUUGGGAGAGGUAACUUGGAGUUGCUGCCCAAGAUGCAGCUCAGCUCCAGUGGCCACACCAAGACGGUUUAAGACAGAGCGGAACCAGGGAGGUUGUUUUUGGUGGCUGGGGGCUUGGGUUUGAGUUCCUUGAACAGCAGAAGGUGCUUGGAUUUAGGGAGGCUCUAAUUGCCUGGACGAAGAACCCCGAGCUGUCUGGCCGGCCUUUCACAGUAUCCGACCGGGGCGUCCUGGACCGCCGCCAGCUCUAUCUGACCACCUCGGCGCGGGACUUUCGGUUCUAUCCCAAGACGGAGCUGUCCGGAUACCCCCGCAAGGACUCCCUGACCUACUGGAGCUUCGAAGAGACGCCCCAGGUCUGGAGCCACGGCCCGCAGCGGCCGCCCUGUCCGCGCUCCUCCCGGCCGCCCCGACCACCGCGGGUCCGCGUGCCGCGCGUCAGCCCGGUGACCUCGGCCAUGCCGCACCGGGGAGCCCUGUCUCUGGCUCAGGAGUCCUACAGCCCCCUGCUGCACCCGCUCCGGCGGCUCGACCGCUUCUGCCCGCUGGAGGCGCCCUGGGGCGGCCCGCACUGGAAGCCCCUGCGGGGCAUCUACAGCGUGCCGAAAGCCUACAGUACCGAGAACUCCAGCUAUGGCAGCUUGAAGCCGGCGCUGGUGUGAGCCGUCAGGGCCAGCCCCACCCCAGACCCGCCCCCAGGGCCGCGCUGCCGAGCGGAGCUCGGGACCUCCGCUCACUAGGAAGGGUUCCGGACCCAGCCUGAGUCGCACUCAUUACGUCUAUUGGCAACGUGGGGGCGGGACUAGCCCAGACACCCACUCAGCUGCGGCAUCACGGAGAGGGGACUAAGUCCAGAUAAUGUCCUUGCAGGCUGUGGCCCCGGGGGCAAGACACGCACCCUGCGGGCGUAUUAAAUAAUGAGUUAAAUCACCUGAACCACACCCACUUCCGGGGACGCUCCGGGCAUCCUGGCUUGAGGGUAGGGUGGGCGGAGGUCCCUAAGGGAGAGGUGGGGCUCGGGCUUAAUCCCUCCUUGGGGGCAUCUGGGUCAAGUGGCUUCCCUGGCAGCACAGUCACGGGGAGACCCUCUCUCACUGGGCAGAAGCUAAGUCCGAAGCAGCGCCCCUCCUGUUAGGUUGGACUGUGGUGCAGGAAAGCCUCAAGUGGAGGGUUGAGGCUUCAGUCCAGCACCUUUCUCGGGUCAUGGCCUCCUCCUGGCUCCCAAGACCCCACAAUUGGCAGAGGCAGGCCUUCCUACACCCUACUCCCUGUGCCUCCAGGCUCGACUAGUCCCUAGCACUCGACAACUGGGUCUCUGAGGUCACUUCACCGUGGUCUCUGCCUCACCUCUGGCGCUAGACCACUGAGGGGAGAGGGCUGGGGCGCUCUGCUGAGCCACUCCUGCGCCUCCCUGGCCAUGUGCACCUCUCGCCCCCGGGGGGAUUAGUGUCCAGGUUACCCCAGCAUCCUAUCACCUCCUGGUGGCCUUGCCGCCCCCACAACCCCGAGGUAUAUAGCCAGAUACACGAGGCAGGGGAUGCACCAAGGAUGGAGAUGCUCCAGGUAAGACUACAGGGCCCCUGGGCACCUUCCACCUCCUUCCAGGCCAUCACUGGCAUGAGAAGGGGCAGACCCGUGUGAGCUGUGGAAGGAGGCCUCUUUCUGGAGGGGCAUGACCCCCAGUAAGCUUCAGGUGGGGCAGUUCCUGAGGGUGGGGAUCUGAAAUGUUGGGGCAUCUCAGGUCCUCUGGGCUGUGGGGUGGGCUCUGAAAGGCAGGUGUCCGGGUGGUGGGUCCUGAAUAGGAGAUGCCGGGAAGGGUCUCUGGGUCUUUGUGGGUGGUGUACCACGCGGGAUGGGAAGGCCAGGACUCGGGGCUGCGGUCUCAGACCUGGGUGAAGCAGUGUCCUUGUCCCAGGGGCUGCUGCUGUUGCUGCUGCUGAGCAUGGGCGGGGCAUGGGCAUCCAGGGAGCCGCUUCGGCCAUGGUGCCACCCCAUCAAUGCCAUCCUGGCUGUCGAGAAGGAGGGCUGCCCAGUGUGCAUCACCGUCAACACCACCAUCUGUGCCGGCUACUGCCCCACCAUGGUGAGCUGCCUGGGGCCAGGGGCAGAUGCUGCCACCUCAGGGCCAGACCCACAGAGGCAGCGGGGGAGGAAGGGUGGUCUGCCUCUCUGGCCUGCGGUUGGGGAAUGGGGUGUGGGAAGGCAGGAACAGAGGGCUUCCUGGGCUCCUGAGUCCAGGACCUGUGGGGUCAGCUUGGGAGCUCAGCUGAGGCGCUGGCCUCAGGCACAUGCUCAUUCCCCCACUCACACGGCCUCCAGAUGCGCGUGCUGCAGGCGGUCCUGCCGCCCCUGCCUCAGGUGGUGUGCACCUACCGUGAUGUGCGCUUCGAGUCCAUCCGGCUCCCUGGCUGCCCGCGUGGUGUGGACCCCGUGGUCUCCUUCCCUGUGGCUCUCAGCUGUCGCUGUGGACCCUGCCGCCGCAGCACCUCUGACUGUGGGGGUCCCAAAGACCACCCCUUGACCUGUGACCACCCCCAACUCUCAGGCCUCCUCUUCCUCUAAAGACCCUCCCCGCAGCCUUCCAAGUCCAUCCCGACUCCUGGAGCCCUGACACCCCGAUCCUCCCACAAUAAAGGCUUCUCAAUCCGCA